GCCACCGUAGCUCAGUGGUAGAGCGGCUGAUUUGUAAUCAGCGGGUCGGGGGUUCAAAUCCCUCCGGUGGCU
rnacentral:tRNA from 2 species